rnacentral:rRNA from 1 species
GUGAGGAAUAUUGCGCAAUGGAGGCAACUCUGACGCAGCCAUGCCGCGUGCAGGAAGAAGGCGCUACGCGUUGUAAACUGCUUUUAACCGGGAAGAAACCCCAGGACGUGUCCUGGGUUGACGGUACCGGAGGAAUAAGCACCGGCUAACUUCGUGCCAGCAGCCGCGGUAAUACGAAGGGUGCAAGCGUUAUCCGGAUUCAUUGGGUUUAAAGGGUGCGUAGGCGGAGCGUUAAGUCAGUGGUGAAAUCCUGCAGCUUAACUGUAGACGUGCCAUUGAUACUGGCGCUCUUGAGUGCGCUUGAAGUGGGCGGAAUGUGCCGUGUAGCGGUGAAAUGCUUAGAUAUGGCACAGAACACCAAUUGCGAAGGCAGCUCACUAAGGCGAUACUGACGCUGAGGCACGAAAGCGUGGGGAUCGAACAGGAUUAGAAACCCGAGUAGUCC